rnacentral:rRNA from 1 species
CGUGUAGGCGGAUGGGAACGUCGGAUACUGAAAGCCCCCGGCUCAACCGGGGAAGUGGUUCCGAAACGACCUGUCUGGAGGGACGUAGGGGGAUCUGGAACUUCCGGUGGAGCGGUGAAAUGCGUUGAGAUCGGAAGGAACGCCCGUGGCGAAAGCGAGGUCCUGGACGUCUGCUGACGCUGAGACGCGAAAGCUAGGGGAGCAAACGGGAUUAGAUACCCCGGUAGUCCUAGCCGUAAACGAUGGGCACUGGGUAGGGGGCUCGCCGAUGGGCUCUCUGCCGUAGCGAAAGCGUGAAGUGCCCCGCCUGGGGAGUAUGGUCGCAAGGCUGAA